rnacentral:rRNA from 1 species
AGAGUUUGAUCCUGGCUCAGAGCGAACGCUGGCGGCAGGCCUAACACAUGCAAGUCGAGCGGCCGUAGCAAUACGGAAGCGGCAGACGGGAGAGUAACACGUGGGAACGUACCCUUCAGUUCGGAAUAGGCCAGGGAAACUUGGGUUAAUACCGGAUACGUCCGUAAGGAGAAAGAUUUAUCGCUGAAGGAUCGGCCCGCGUCCGAUUAGCUAGUUGGUGGGGUAACGGCUCACCAAGGCGACGAUCGGUAGCUGGUCUGAGAGGAUGACCAGCCUCACUGGGACUGAGACACGGCCCAGACUCCUACGGGAGGCAGCAGUGGGGAAUAUUGGACAAUGGGCGCAAGCCUGAUCCAGCCAUGCCGCGUGGGUGAUGAAGGCCCUAGGGUUGUAAA